rnacentral:tRNA from 1 species
GCGAUAGUAGCUCAGUUGGCAGAGCGCUUGCUUCCCAAGCAAGAGGUCGCGAGUUCGAGACUCGUCUAUCGCUCCA